UUAAGACUCUUGAGGGGACAGAGUUGACCAGAGAGAUGACUGUGAUGAUUAGCAGGAAGAUGAUUCUAGGAGAUUACAGUGCAAUGAUUCACAAGAACGCAACGGAGCUCAACUGAUCAAUUUGAAAAAAAUCAAAUCUCCGGCUAUGCUGGAAGACCAAUCACCAAAUCCAGGUUAUUUUGCAGAGAGAAAGCUAUUACAAGGAGAUCAGGAAGAAGAUUCCUGUUACACCAGUUUCAGCAGAACUCCCCAUCAACAAUAUCGGAUCAUCCUCAUCGUCUGAUCAGUUUCAUCAUCCUCCACCAUCUUCCAAAUGAUGUCCCAUCUCCCUGGCCUGCCUUCAGCUAGAAUCCCCAUUGACCCUGAUGUUCCUUUUAGUAAUUCUCCAUCUACUGCCCUUGCCUUGCUCUUUGUCUAGAAAUGGUCACACGCAUAGGCUUGGGUUCCACCUCUCUCUCCCACUGCAACACCUCAUAGGACUCCACACCUAUAGUGAUGGCCUCCUCCUGAUUACAGUCUUCUUCACCUCGUUUAACAUCAUGGAUUAUAUUCUGAAGCAGUAAAAAGCAAUUCAAUUAGUCAUUUAUGAGCCAAAGAGUGGGCAUUUGCAUGGUUUCUGUGUUAUGAUCUUUUCAUAAAGAAAGAAUGGGGAAUGCAUGGAUGUUGUCCAUGUCCUAUAGGAAAA